CACCAGCAGUUCAAGUGGUGAUCACGUUUACUGGGUUUAAAGCGUGCGUAGUCGGCUCGGCAAGUUUUCUGUGAAAGCCUACGGCUUAACUGUGGGGAAGGCAGAAAAUACUACCGGGCUUGAGGCCGGGGUAGGUGUGGGGUACUCUUGGGGUAGCGGUGAAAUGCUAUAAUCCCUAGAGGACCACCGGUAGCGAAGGCGCCACACUGGAACGGGCCUGACGAUGAGGUACGAGAGCUAGGGGAGCAAACAG
rnacentral:rRNA from 1 species